rnacentral:lncRNA from 1 species
CUCUUGGACGUGGCACUCAGUACCAGGAUGAACCGAUUGAGUUCCUUCGACUCCAGAGGUUUCCCUGGGCACAAAGAUGUUCAGCAAGGACCUCCUUCUCUUUCCUCAGCUGCGAGGGCAGUGUCUUGGGGACCGGUAGUCCAUGACUGGCUGAGGAGACUGCCCUGGGCCACCUGCCACCAUCACUGUGGUUCCCUGUCAGCACCCUGUUGUUCUCAGUGGCGAGUUCUGCCCUUACGGAGACGCUACGCACAACUGAUGAGGAAUUCUCAGCAUCAUUUGGGGCUCGUCCGGAAUGUGGCUCAAGCAUACCCUUUUGAAAGCCUGGUGUUAUGGACUGCCUGUGCGUCCCCCCAAAAUGUGUAAGUCUUAAUCCUCAGUGCAACGGUCUUUGCAGGUGGGGUC